rnacentral:tRNA from 1 species
AAUUAGAAAGCGAAGAUUCGCGUUUAGUUUCGACCUAAAUUUUGGUAAUAAGCCUCUAAUUU